AGCAUGCAGCAGCUACCAUGCAGUCGAGCGGUAGCACAGAGAGCUUGCUCUCGGGUGACGAGCGGCGGACGGGUGAGUAAUGUCUGGGAAACUGCCUGAUGGAGGGGGAUAACUACUGGAAACGGUAGCUAAUACCGCAUAACGUCGCAAGACCAAAGAGGGGGACCUUCGGGCCUCUUGCCAUCAGAUGUGCCCAGAUGGGAUUAGCUAGUAGGUGGGGUAACGGCUCACCUAGGCGACGAUCCCUAGCUGGUCUGAGAGGAUGACCAGCCACACUGGAACUGAGACACGGUCCAGACUCCUACGGGAGGCAGCAGUGGGGAAUAUUGCACAAUGGGCGCAAGCCUGAUGCAGCCAUGCCGCGUGUAUGAAGAAGGCCUUCGGGUUGUAAAGUACUUUCAGCGGGGAGGAAGGUGUUGAGGUUAAUAACCUCAGCAAUUGACGUUACCCGCAGAAGAAGCACCGGCUAACUCCGUGCCAGCAGCCGCGGUAAUACGGAGGGUGCAAGCGUUAAUCGGAAUUACUGGGCGUAAAGCGCACGCAGGCGGUCUGUCAAGUCGGAUGUGAAAUCCCCGGGCUCAACCUGGGAACUGCAUUCGAAACUGGCAGGCUAGAGUCUUGUAGAGGGGGGUAGAAUUCCAGGUGUAGCGGUGAAAUGCGUAGAGAUCUGGAGGAAUACCGGUGGCGAAGGCGGCCCCCUGGACAAAGACUGACGCUCAGGUGCGAAAGCGUGGGGAGCAAACAGGAUUAGAUACCCUGGUAGUCCACGCCGUAACGAUGUCGACUUGGAGGUUGUGCCCUUGAGGCGUGGCUUCCGGAGCUAACGCGUUAAGUCGACCGCCUGGGGAGUACGGCCGCAAGGUUAAAACUCAAAUGAAUUGACGGGGGCCCGCACAAGCGGUGGAGCAUGUGGUUUAAUUCGAUGCAACGCGAGAACCUUACCUACUCUUGACAUCCAGAGAACUUACCAGAGAUGCUUUGGUGCCUUCGGGAACUCUGAGACAGGUGCUGCAUGGCUGUCGUCAGCUCGUGUUGUGAAAUGUUGGGUUAAGUCCCGCAACGAGCGCAACCCUUAUCCUUUGUUGCCAGCGGUCCGGCCGGGAACUUCAAAGA
rnacentral:rRNA from 1 species